rnacentral:rRNA from 1 species
GAUGAACGCUGGCGGCGUGCCUAAUACAUGCAAGUCGAACGCGAGAGGAGGGAGCUUGCUCCCUCUGAUCGAGUGGCGGACGGGUGAGUAACACGUAGGCAACCUGCCCAUCAGUCCGGGAUAACCGCGGGAAACCGUGGCUAAUACCGGAUGAUCCUCUCCACCGCGGGGUGGGGAGUUGAAAGACGGUUUCGGCUGUCGCUGAUGGAUGGGCCUGCGGCGCAUUAGCUGGUUGGCGGGGUAACGGCCCACCAAGGCAACGAUGCGUAGCCGACCUGAGAGGGUGAUCGGUCACACUGGGACUGAGACACGGCCCAGACUCCUACGGGAGGCAGCAGUAGGGAAUCUUCCGCAAUGGACGCAAGUCUGACGGAGCAACGCCGCGUGAGCGAAGAAGGGUUUCGGCUCGUAAAACUCUGUUGUUAAGGAAGAACGACAGGUAGAGUAACUGCUACCUGUGUGACGGUACUUAACCAGAAAGCCACGGCUAACUACGUGCCAGCCGCCGCAGUAA